rnacentral:tRNA from 1 species
GCGGGUGUGGUGGAAUUGGCAGACACGCAAGAUUUAGGUUCUUGUGGAUUAUUCCAUGCAGGUUCAAGUCCUGUCACCCGCACCA